UGUUAAAAAUUUCAUCCAUUUUUACUGCUAAAAAUUGGUUUGGCUAACAGAAUAAUUAGACAAUUACACGUGGUGUGCUACGUGUACUUCGUUUUGACAUAUAGAGACCAAUUUCUAAUGGUAGGAUUCAUUUGCCCAUUUUUUGAAUA
rfam:Gossypium raimondii Chr01_contig_17, whole genome shotgun sequence.